GAGAGGCCGCUGCCCGCGCCCGGGAACAGCCGGGAAUGGGAAAUGGCUGCGUCCGCUUCUCUCGUCAGGCCUGGCCAAGGAGAGACACGAGCACCUGGACGUUAAUUCCCCGACGGAAAAAAAGGUCCACACCUUUGAGAUCCCCAGGUUUGCUGAAAAUUUUUCUCUGAAGACUUCAUUAAGUUCUGGCCUGGACACCAAUUUGUCAGCAAAAGAUAAAGCAUGUUGAGAAGCCAACCCAAGAGGUUCCUCCUUAGCACAUUUGUGAAGGCCUGUUGCUGCUCAUACUGACUUCGGAGCUCAGAGGUAAAAGAAAUAGAAAUAAGAGGGACAGCCCCCACCCAUGAAACAAGUAGAGGGAAAUACGUGACUGGUGGCAUGUUUUCUGUCCUAUUCAACACUGCUCUCUCCCACUGCAGUGCCAGAGUUUGCCUCUGUUCACCAUGGUAAUAGGUAAAGGAAGGACAGACAUUGUAAAAAAAAUUAAAAUGGAUUAAAUCGUCUGCAGAUUCAUUUUUACUCUAUAAUUUUCUAAGUAUAAUCUUUGUCCAGGAUGUGGGAGGAAUGCUUCUGCCAUGCAACAGCGGCCUACCAAAUACCUCUCUCAGCCCUGUGAGCAAUUUGAGCAGCAUUUUGCACGGUCUCUUUUUGAAAAAGAUGUAAUUCAUAAAGCUCCCCCUUUCCCUUAGCUCCAAAAAAUAUCUGUAGCAGUUUCCAAGAUGUUGAUGUGUACAUAUCGUGUAGUAGAAAUGCAGACAAAAUACAUGCAGCACUGCAUAUGUUUCAAAAACAUACCAGCUUCCUGAUACAUCAAAAUGGAAUCUAAUGGAAAACCAAGAUGAUUUCCUGUGUGGUGCUGGGGGCUACUGUAAGAGCUGAAGUCAGGAGAAGAGAAGGCACGCAAGAACAUUUCUGGCUGAGCUCCAGAGUACAGAGAUUUCAAGUUUCUUGUGAGGACAGAAGAGCACUGUGCACUUGUAUUUCUAACUGUUGGCACUCCAACUAUACACAGCUAGUCAGAAGGAUCGGUUAUAGCUAGAGCUCAGUUUGAAAAGAGAUUUCAAACAGAUUAAAAAUUCCUAUUCAUUACAAGCUUCUAAAUUAAGUGAAACUCACUGAAAGAUUGGAUUCUUUCUGAAUCCUGAAUAAUUCUUUACAUUGUGAUCAGGGAAUGAGGUUGUUUUGGACUCUUAAUUUAGAAACGCAUGUAUGGGAUUUAUGCUAGCACUCCUAAUGUCCAGAAUUACAGAACUGUCAACAGUUUGUCAAGAAAAACAUUCACUCACUUUUGUUUUUUGAAAGAAAAGCGAUAUAAAAAUCUGUUUGGGACAGCAUCCCUGUCUCUCAGACUUGAGACAUUUUGCAACCAUAGGAGCAUAAAUGUAAAUGCAAGAUGACCUGCACUGUGUGCAAGGAAUGUGAAGUUUUUCUGAAAUGCCUCCUUCUAUUUCCUCAAACUAAUUACCACGUGCAGCCUUUCAACAUGGCUUUCUUGCUUUCUCAUGCAAAUGAAGUAACAGGAGCAAACCGUACAGCACAGCCCUGGAAAUGAGGGCAGGGUUGCCCUUUUGGGUCCUUUCUAGACCUUGCUUUCUGUAUGUGCUGCAUGAAGCUCCUGCAGUGUUACAUGAAUGGACAACACAAAUAAACUCCAGCACAGUUACCACUACUUUCAGGUUUGAUUUACCUGAGCAAGGUCUCCUUGGCUUGUCUUUCCGUGUAGCAUCAACGGCUGCUUCAACCUGCAGGAAACCAAAGCGAGAAGUUUUCUGUGUGGGAUAUACACUUGUUUUCAAAAGAACUGUUGUAUAAAACCCCCUAUGCUUUCUGUGUUGCUGGAGUUGCCUGAGGGCGCUCUGUCAUUGUUGAUAAUACAUUAAGCACAAUACAUCAGCAUGCCAGAGAAAAAGAUUUCCCAGGAUCAGCUAUGCCCUUUGUAGAGCAGUAAGCAAGAAUGACUAAGGUAUAAAAGGGCAUACUGUGGUGAAGCUUUUAUGUGAGUGGGAACUGCAGGGCCAGAGAAGACAUUAAUGCCUUCUGCAAGCCAUGAAGAAAUUAGCAAGACGUAUAAAUGGAAAAUCAAAGACAACUAGAACAGUCACACAUCCAAAAAAUCAUCUGGACAACAGAGCUGUCUGAGUGAUCCAGAAGCAAGAUUCCUAUUGUCAUAUGAUGGCUGCAGAGAUGAGGUUAAUUUGGCUCCGUCCUGCUGACACUGCUGAAUCAGAAGUUUAUUGCAGAACAAUCUGAGCAAUAUCUUGGAUCUCGAACCCCAGUUUUGCACAAUUAAACCACAGUGUUUCAAUGGUCAGGACUGAAAAGUAAGUGAAAAGAAAGGACAGACUCAGUUUGCAGGAAGCAGAUGUCCUGUGACAGAUGACCAAGUUAUCUUUAAGCUGAUACACAAACUGGUUUCUUUGCAAAUCAGCAGGAAUGCAAUGCCCAGGUGUUAUAGCCUCCCCAAGUGUACUGUGUGCAUCUGCACUUUCUACUUGAUUUCUUCUGCUCUGUCCUCUGCUGUACUCUGUGAACCUUCCUGAGGUUACAAAGGAUCUUCCAAGUUACAAAAUUGUCCCUGAUAAAAUCGGUACCACAGAGGUACUUUUUGAUGAAGCUAAUAACAAACCCAAAUAUUCCACAGUUCUUGCUUGUUCCAGCCAACCCUUCACGACUGAGACAGAUGUGUUUAAUAAAACAAAAAUCCAAACAACUUUCCUCUCCCUUCCCUGCCACCCCUCCCUCAAAAGAAAAAAAAACAACAAAAAAAAAUAAUCAGGCCUAUAAUUAUUCUAAUUAGCAUCAGACUGCUGAUUCAGUAAACCAUAGAUAUGAGGAUACAAAACUUUGGAUGGGCAAAUAUGCCCAGAGUCUUUGAAGUUACAAACUUUGCACUGGCAGUUGUUCAAAACUAUCUAACAGUUGAUUUUGGAAGGCUGACCAGAAUGCCUUUGUAGAACUUCUUGCAUACAGGAAAGCUUCACUUAUUUGAGGGUAAUCAGCACAUCACCUUCGCCUUUUCACAUCGUUUACAUCCUUACAAAAUUACUUAUCCCAGUACCAUUCCAGUCAAAUCAUAAAAGCAUUAUAAAAAGCUCCUAUCUCCACUACAGCAAUAUCCCCUCAAUGAUCUCCACCUCAGAGGGGUGCACGUAACAGGCUGUUUAGAGUUGCACCCCAGCGGCCAAGGCUUUGAAAACCAUUUGAAAGGCCAGAAAGUGCCAAGGUAUAUAGAGUAGCCAAGGUAUUGGCUAAAGGGAGUGUGAUCCCUUUGCUUCAGUAAUCACUCAAUUUAAGGGUGUAGGGGCUGCUAGGGCAACCCAGGGCCAUCCAUCAAAUCCUUCCUGAAAGGUAUCUGAGAGCUAAUCUGCAUUUUACACAGCAGCUGCAAAAAGGAGCAGUGAUGCUAAAUCACAGAUCAGCAAGCCACUAAUGUAUUUAGCAAACACUUUUCUUAGAUUUUUCCCCAAGAUUAAAGGCUUUCCUUUGGUCAUCUUUCUUGUCAAUACAGAGAAAAGAAUCUCAGUUCUGUUAAAGAAUGUCUUUUGUUAAGGAAAUGCUCCCUGAUGGAAGCUGUUUGCUGCAUAAGGAAUUGAAGGAAAUGAUAUGAUUUGCUUAAUAAUAAGUACCAUAAGAGUCUUUAUAAAAAAAGGAUUGCAUUUGAUUUCAUAUUAUUAAAUAGCAUUUAUCAAAAUAUCUGGUAGCUAAAUAAAAUCUUCCUCCUCCUCCCUGAAUGUGGUCAUCUACUGAAAGCUUGGGAAGAGAAAAUUGCAGUUGAAUGUUAUGCCAGAGACUUGUCCCCAGUUCAGUUCUGAUGGCCUUUUUUCCUCUGUUUCUGUCUGAGUGAGAUGGUUUACUGCAGAGAGCACCUGAGAGGCCAUCAAAAGAGUGCAGGACUGGAGAAGAGCAGCUCAGAGCACUCUGCCUUGCUCACAUCACCACAACAGCUGCAGAGGGAAAACACUCCUGACACGGCAUUUCCUUUGCUGCAUCCUCUGUGUGAUGCCCACUGUGUGAUGGGCAGGAAUAGCAGGAGGUGACACUGAUGAUUUCAAGCUUUAAUACCCACCUCUGUGGGGCCAGCUUCCAACAGAAAGUCUUUCCCAUUUAAGUAAAAACAAAUCAGAUGACCCAAAACAUUCCUGAUGAAUAAAAACUUAAAUAGAGGCUCUUCAUCUCUUCAUGACAUGACUAGUCAAGCACUAAUUUGGACCAGUGGACAUAUAAUUUAAGAAACCAUACUGGCAUGUGUCAUUGGAGUCUAGCAAACAAGGCUCUGGAGUUGCACUGCUGAAUAUGCUCAUGCAAAAGGAAAACUGAAAAGUCAGGCUUUGGCUGUGUGUUCCCUUUGAAGAAAGAACUGUGAUUGUUGGCAGAGGAAGGAAGGAACUAGGACAAAACAAGGAAAAUAAAUUGUUUUUUCUUUCCAUCAGUCAGCUCCUUAAUUUUCUGCUAAUACUAUAAGUCUAAUUUACAAGUUAAACAUAAAUCUAUUUAUAUAUUAUUUAAAAUUAAAUUACAGAAAAUUACACUGAUUGUGUGUUGAAAUCUUUGAGUACUGAGAGAAGGGAAAAUGAGGCAAAUAAACAUAAGAAGCAAAGGUCAUUUUGCUGUCAACAGAAAAUAGCCCCAGUCAGAAAGAAAAAAGUUUCCACACACAUUUAAUAUAUUUUAAACUCAGGACAUAUUUCAUUCCUUUGUCAUGUCAUUUUUUAUUAGAGAGAUAUAGGCAGAGAUCUAAAAUAAUUAGGUCUACAGCUUAGGUGUUUCAAUCUCUAAAUAAUUAAACAUACCAAAAAAUAUAUCCUUGAAAAUGAAGAGUGAAGGAGACCUCCCUGUAGUCCUUCUUCAGCAAUAGAUUUUGGAUAUAACUUGGACCAUAAGAUGUCAAAAUAAGUAUUAUCCUGAGAAAUGUGCUAAUUGCCUCAAUUAUUUAAUAUCUCUUAAGACUCUUCAUGAUAGUAAAAGGGUCGAUGUUAUGAGCCAAAUUGUUUAGGAUCUUUUCUGCAGCAGCUCUGUCUCAAUAAUUAUGAGCAAAUUUUGAAUAUAUCAAAAUAAUUUUCUAAUGUCCAUCUGAAAGAUGUGCAUACUUGUUUAAUUAAUGAAAGAGAAACUACACAGGGAUAUCCCAUUACAAAAUGUAACCAACAAAUUAUAACUUGUUUCAAAAAUGACUUCAGCAAGUUUCUCAUAGGAAAUAUGGGCAAAAAAUGUUGUAAACAUUAAAAAAAUUGGAUUACAUUUAUGUUGUCACAUUAUAGGUACAGUUCUCACCUCUAAGAAAAGCAAGAAUUCAGACUUUUGUAUAAAGAGUCUCUAAAGUAAUGGAAGCCUCUACAAGAUUUCCAAGAAUCACUUUUAAACUGAAAAUGGAAAGAAUUCACUUCUGCAAAAUCUGUCCUUCCUGCAGUAAAACUGUUUAAACAGAACCUUUACAAAAGGGACACAGUGUAGGAACACAGCUAAGAAACCUGCAGCAAAGCUAGGUAGAGGUAGAAGAUAAAAGUGAGGAUUCUCUUUAACCCUAUUUCCACUGAUAUAAUGUCUUUCAUUUAUUGGAAGAAUAUUACCUUCUAUGCAUUACGUAAAGAUUUAGCCUUCCUUCUUUUUAAUACAUGCUUAUGGUAAUGAUUCUAAAACAAAUCUUUUCUCUGACUCUAAGGAACACAGGUAGAGUAGUGGGCCCAUGCCUAGAAAUAUAAUAUGAAAAAUCUGUGAAAAUAAAGAGAGUGAACCUCAGAAAAUUAAGUAAUGUUUCAAAGAAAAUAAAAAUUAGGCAGCCAGACUUCGUCUUUAAAAUUUUGGAGUUUUGUUAGAUUAUAUUCCAAGAAAAUCACAUGAUCAACCAGAUUUUGGAGCAAGCUGUAGUUUUAAUAUUUAGGAUAAAAAAUAUAUGUGACUAUAAAUGCAGUUCAAAACCUCACUUAAAAUAGUAUCCCCAUAAACAUUAAGGUGGUUCAUUCUCAUAACCAAAGUGCAAGUAGGAAAGAAAUCAUGUCAGUCACUGGAAUCUUCGUUUCAGUUGCCAAAACCCUCAGAUACAACUUCUUUGAAAGGGCACUGAAGGUACUGAGCCCUGCACAGAAAUUAGUCCUUAACCAGGACUAAAACACCAGUGCAACAAACAUCCAAACAGGCUUUUCUGCAGUUUGACUGUGAUCAUCAAUAAAUAAGACACUGGGAUUUUACUUGGUGUGAGUUUCUGCAGGGUGAAAAGCCUUGCAGGAUCUUCCAAUGGAAGAUUAAAGUCAGUGGAUAUUUAUUGCAAUGUUUUUCCUCAGUAUGAUAGCUGCAUUUACUUGGUUGGAGAAGCUGUGAUGCUGCUCUGGUAAGUGGUGGUAAGCAUGAUCCUGAAGCAAGAACAAGCACUUAUACUUCCAUGGUGUUUCUUUCUUGAUCCAAACAGAGGAGAGUAAUCUCACAAAGCAGAAAGGGAGUAAGUCAGUAUUUGAUUUAUGGUCUCUCUGGAAAAAGGUAAUCUUACUGUGGAAUCUGAGAUUGAACUAUGAAGUAUUUAAUUUUUGGUGGGAAAGAAACAGCCUUCCACUUCCCCAAUACAUAAAGAACAGUUGGGGGUUGAGUGUUCUUCCUUUUAUUCCGUCUCACCUAUGGAAUUUUUUGCCCAUUAGUUGCGGGGAAACCUGACUGCUGGUAUUUGCUGGGUGCUUGAGAAACACGGGGAGUUUGGCUGGGACCA